UACAGACAUCCCAUUCUAGGCAGAAAUGAAGAGUUGCGCAAAUAUAAAUCGAUUCUUUGCAACGCUAUCAAUGAACAUAAGCAAAAGUUCACGAGAUAUAGGGAUCACAAGUUUGGUUUUGCUAUUAUUGGCCCAACAUUAGUAGGCAAAACGCGUUUAUUAGAAGAAUGCAUCAAUAUAACACCAAGUUAUGUGCACGCAGACAUGUUUUCGUUAACAGAAAAGGACGAGAAACCUUUUACAAUAUUCCGAAAGAUAUUGUCCAGAGCUUUCAUUGCUACUGAUGGGCGAAAAGCAAGAGAAAGUUGUGAAAACCUUAUAAG